AACGAACGCUGGCGGCAGGCUUAACACAUGCAAGUCGAGCGCCCCGCAAGGGGAGCGGCAGACGGGUGAGUAACGCGUGGGAACGUACCCUUUACUACGGAAUAACUCAGGGAAACUUGUGCUAAUACCGUAUGUGCCCUUUGGGGGAAAGAUUUAUCGGUAAAGGAUCGGCCCGCGUUGGAUUAGCUAGUUGGUGGGGUAAAGGCCUACCUAGGCGACGAUCCAUAGCUGGUCUGAGAGGAUGAUCAGCCACAUUGGGACUGAGACACGGCCCAAACUCCUACGGGAGGCAGCAGUGGGGAAUAUUGGACAAUGGGCGCAAGCCUGAUCCAGCCAUGCCGCGUGAGUGAUGAAGGCCUUAGGGUUGUAAAGCUCUUUCACCGGUGAAGACAAUGACGGUAACCGGAGAAGAAGCCCCGGCUAACUUCGUGCCAGCCGCCGCCGUAA
rnacentral:rRNA from 1 species